rnacentral:lncRNA from 1 species
UCAGAUCAUUUGAAAUAUUUAUAUUGUUAUAUCUAAUUAAAUUUACAUAAAAAGUUAUGAAUUACAAUGUACUUUGAAAAUAUAAAAAAUAUAUACAUAUCAAACUCCAAAAAAAAACAAUCUACAAAGUAUCAGGGACGGAAUUCAGCUCCAUCAUCAUCAUCUCUGCGAGCAUUUGAAGUAUCAGAAAUCUACAAAAAAAAAAAGAAACCUUAGAUAUUUGUAAAAAUGGGAUACAUUAACUUAUACAUCAUAAUUGAUAAUAUGUAAAGUAUUCAAAUAUAUAUAGUUAGUUACCUGAGAAGGGAGAAAUCGUUGUAACAAAGAUGAAAUAUUCGUAAGCUGAGACUGCAAAUUUUCUUGGUUCGGCACUGGAUCUCGACUUAUUUAUCCAACUUUUUGUCCAUUCUAUUAAA